CAGUAGCCGCGGUAAUACGAAGGGGGCUAGCGUUGCUCGGAAUCACUGGGCGUAAAGGGUGCGUAGGCGGGUUUCUAAGUCAGGGGUGAAAUCCUGGAGCUCAACUCCAGAACUGCCCUUGAUACUGGAAGUCUUGAGUAUGGGAGAGGUGAGUGGAACUGCGAGUGUAGAGGUGAAAUUCGUAGAUAUUUGCAAGAACACCAGUGGCGAAGGCGGCUCACUGGCCCAUAACUGACGCUGAGGCACGAAAGCGUGGGGAGCAAACAGGAUUAGAUACCCGCGUAGUCCCUGUCUCUUAUAC
rnacentral:rRNA from 1 species